rnacentral:rRNA from 1 species
UACGAGGGGGGCGAGCGUUAAUCGGAAUUACUGGGCGUAAAGCGUGCGCAGGCGGCGCGUUAAGACAGGUGUGAAAGCCCCGAGCUUAACUUGGGAAUUGCGCUUGUGACUGGCGUGCUGGAGUGUGGCAGAGGGAGGUGGAAUUCCACGUGUAGCAGUGAAAUGCGUAGAGAUGUGGAGGAACACCGAUGGCGAAGGCAGCCUCCUGGGCCAGCACUGACGCUCAUGCACGAAAGCGUGGGGAGCAAACAGG